rnacentral:snRNA from 1 species
UCCCUCAGGAUAGCUGGA